rnacentral:lncRNA from 1 species
GCCCCGGCGGGGGAUCGGGGCGCAGGGCCUGCCUCUCAGCGGGACCAGGCGCUGGCUGCGCUCCUGAGCUCGCUGUCGCGCUGGCCUCUCCGGGCGCUCGACUCCUUUCUCUUGGCGAGGGUGGGCCGACGCCUGCAUCGCCGUGACAUCACCUCCAUUCAGGCGCUUAUCGGGCGCCCGCGGGGCUCCAGGUGCAGGCAAUCCGCUCACAAGUUUUUCAGGGAACCAAGCCCUCUGGUGGAUGCCUUUCUGGGGAAACGAAGAAAGAGAGAGGCUGACGGAGGCAGAGCCACUGAAAGGUCUACCGGCGCUGUGCAGGCCCUGCCCACUUCCUUUCUCUUGCAGUGCAGCCCUUCCAACCUGAGGUCGUAGAGGAACUGAGGCUGCAGAGGGCGGGGUGGGAAUCCCACGGGUCCAGGGUCACCACACCCACAUCCAGAAGUGAAUUCUUCUGCUUAUUUCUGUCCACGGGACCGAACAGCCACCGACAUCCACCGGACCAGCAUCACCCAGGGGAGCUGGCCUUCGUCCUGGACUCUCCUGGCCUCAGAGGAAUCCAGAUCACAGUUGGCGGGGUUAGAUUGCUCAGGCCAACUGAUCCCUUCAGAGAUACACAAACUAGGGCUUGUGGAAUCUCAGGGCGAAUACAGAACACGCUGGCAGCCAGAUCACCUGACCUCCCCCCGCCCCAGGGUGGGGGUUGUCUGACCACCCCAUCACCUGACCUCAGGUCACCACCCUCCCCUGCAGUGUGGUUCUCUACUGCAUAACAUAAUAUAAUCACGGAGUAACUCCCGAGGACAGGGGCAGAGAUCACGCGGCCGCCUGAGAAUUCUGCCUUCAACAGGGCUGGAGGCUCCCGUCCCCCUCACCUGGCCAGACCCCCAGGCCAGCUCCUGGGAGGAAGUGUCCUUCUCAGCUCUUGACUGCCCCUAAUUACUCAGCGAGGUUGGACCAGACCUCCCAAUACAUCGAUUAGAACAGGGUGGUGGACAGGCCGGUGGGUGGACGGCUUUUGUCUCCCAGAGGCGAGUUCCCUCCCACCCAGCUGGCCCAGAUCCGCGUGUCUCAGCCUGUGGUUUCGGUGUCCAAGCCUCGAGUGCAGAGAUGCCCGUGGGACGCCAAGAGGGAAGAUGUUCGAACGCUUGACAGUUCUAACGGUGGUGCCCUUCCAGCCAGGAUCCCCCGGCACCCCAUUCUGUUCUAUUCUUUUAUUUGGCCAUGUCAGGUGGCUUGUGGGAUCUCAGUUUACUGAUGAGGUACUGAACCUGGGCCACUGCAGUGAAAGCCCAGAAUCGUAACCACUGGGCCACCAGGGAGCUACCCACCCCCACUGGACACACACACUUUCAUUUUGCAUUUCUACCUGGUUCCCUCAAACUUUACUACGCCUUAACUUUAAUAAAUAUUUAUUGAGAGCAAGCUCA